CAGUCGCCACGGUAAUACGUAGGGUGCAAGCGUUAAUCGGAAUUACUGGGCGUAAAGCGUGCGCAGGCGGUUAUAUAAGACGGAUGUGAAAUCCCCGGGCUCAACCUGGGAACUGCAUUUGUGACUGUAUAGCUAGAGUACGGCAGAGGGGGAUGGAAUUCCGCGUGUAGCAGUGAAAUGCGUAGAUAUGCGGAGGAACACCGAUGGCGAAGGCAAUCCCCUGGGCCUGUACUGACGCUCAUGCACGAAAGCGUGGGGAGCAAACAGGAUUAGAUACCCGGGUAGUCCCUGUCUCUUAUAC
rnacentral:rRNA from 1 species